UUUUCCUUUGUGACAAACUGACACUAAAACCGAGGUCGGAACCAGCUGAGGAGGACUUCUUUUGGCAGAAGGCUACUCUUGAGCUAAAGAGAACAUCUUGUUCUACAGUCCAAAGACCUGCCUAAAAUUAAAAGUUUUCACAGGUCCUUGUUAGGCUGCGUGCCCACGGAUGUCGCAUUUCUUACUGUUCUUAUUCAACUGGACAUUUUCCAUCCCUAACACCUACAGUGGCUGAGUUCCUUUAAGAACUCUAAAGGCCUUCUGGCUAGAACAAUUCUGAGGUGGCGCCACAUCGGCUUGUAAACUCUAAUCCGGAGCUGUGGUUGCUUCUCCUUGUGGUCUACAUGCUGAACCCAAAACUAUGCUCAGUUGAAAUAAUUUCACCCUGUGUAUCCGCAGCCAAUAUGCAUUCAGUGAACCUAGGACUUUGGAACGGAAGGUGAUCAUAUGACCAGCUCCCAACACGAACCUGUAGGCUGAUCCCGAGCGCAUCUCAUCCUGGCAUUAGAGGAUUCAAUGCACCUUUUGGAUCUUUAUACUUGUUUUAUUUUUUUUUUCCAGACCUUUCCCUGUCCUAACUUCCCUUUGCUUCUUUUCACUAAA